ensembl:lncRNA
AGUACCUAGGGCUGCCCCUGACCUCUAUCAUCACGCCUCUUGCUCUCUGAUACUAUUUCCAUGCCCUCUGCCCCACCCACUCAACAGCCAACAUUGGUCUAAGGAUAAACUAAACAGGCUGGCAAUACGUUGUAUUAUAUGCUGCACACUGUAUGCUGAAGAAACUAAAAUGACUGGCUCUGUAGUUACAUAAAUGUAAGGCAAGUACCCACUCAUUGUCCUUGGCCACGGCAGUGAAGUCACCAUAAAUCUGAAUGCUGAUGCUGCAGAUCAAGGUGCCAAGUAUCCCAUCCAGUGAUGUAAGUGGGUAUCUUCGGCCAGAACCCUGCCCUUGAAGAGGGUGUCAGAAUCCAGAGAGCCAAGCAGCCCACCACCCUCGGCAGACUGGACUGCUAAAGGUUCCACAUCACCUCCAGUGGGCUUCCACUGAUGCGGGAUGUCCAUGUCAGAUAUUGACUGAGAGGCUGACAGAACCCUGCCUCUGCAGUCUUGGCUUUUGUCUCCAAUGAACAGAAGCUUAGGCAAGGUGUUCAUCGGACCAUCCAAAAGGCCGGACAGAGGCUGUGGCUUCAUCAAGCUUCCAGAACAGACAGUGUGAGCUGCUUUAUGCCCGCUUGUUAGUGACCGUCUGCUGUGUGGCAGAACUUGGUCUGAGACUUGCUUUCACUGUAAUAUGGCAGUGAGGUACGUGGCAGUAGCAAAUGUCCUCACCUCAAGCUUUUUUGAGUGACCACCUAUUCUCUUACAUCCAUUAAAAGCAACAACAAAGAGCUGUGUUACC